rnacentral:rRNA from 1 species
GACGAACGCUGGCGGCGUGCUUAACACAUGCAAGUCGAACGGAAAGGCUCCAGCUUGCUGGAGUACUCGAGUGGCGAACGGGUGAGUUACACGUGGGUAAUCUGCCCUGCACUCUGGGAUAAGCCUGGGAAACUGGGUCUAACACUUGAUAUGACCGUUCUCCUUAUGGGGUUUGUUGGAAAGUUUUGCGGUGUAUGAUGGUCGCGCGGCUUAUCAGCUUGUUGGUGGGGUGAUGGCCUACCAAGGCGACGAAGGGUAGCCGGCCUGGGAGGGUAAUCGGGGACAAGAGGACUAAGAGAGGGCGCAGACUGCAAUGGUGGGCAGCAGUCGGAAGCAUUGCACAAUCGGCGCAAGUGUGAGACGACGACGCCGCGAGUGGGAUGAAGGCCUUCGGGUGGGAAACCGCAGUCAGCAGAGACGAAGCGUUAGUGACGGUACCUGCAGAAGAAGCACCGGCUAACUAUGUG